CACCAUCCCCCGUGUCUCUUUUUGCCUCUUACUUUCAGGUCAAAAUGUGAGUUCUCACAGCCACGUCUUUGCUCUGUCAUCAUGGACUCCCACCCUCUGAAACUGAAGAGGAUCCUGGAUUUUCCAGAUGGACGAGAUGAAAUCAUAAGAGUGUGUACUCAAGGAAAGAAGGCGGUCGUGAGAGAUGGCAAGCUAGGAAGAGAAACAGAGGCGGGAAUGAUUCGACUCUGAGCCAAGGAAUGCUGGCUACCAGAAAGCCAGAGGAGGCGUCGAGUAGAUUUACGCCAGACCCCUUCACAGGGUAUCAUCUUAAGAUUUUUUUCCAUCUUGACAUUCUGAACAGGCAAGUCUGCCCCUCUGUAGUACCCACUGUCCUCCAGUAUUUUUGAAGACUACAUCCAGCAAUGCUGACAGAAUCUCUGCGUUGUUCAUCAUCCUAGCAUAAAGUUCAUCUGGAUGUAGAACCUUAAAAUUACGUGAAUUCAGAAAUAGGUUUCUACGUGACAAUGACCCAGUUAUCCUGUAACCAGUGACCAGAGGGGGAUCCCCAGAUUCCUUCAUAUUCAGUGAUCAGGGCAUUACUGUUGCCCCUGUUUGUCUCUUCCCAGUUCAUAAAGUUGACUCUGUGUUGGGUCACAUGCAGUUCUUGGUGACACAAAGGGAUUUUCAGAACGGCAGAAGAGAAAUUGCAGUGUGUACCAUGAUUAUAAAAAUAAUCCUUCUGUUGGUUUGGCCAACUUUGAUGUAAUGGUUUUUGUUUUAUCUUAUUAUACUUUAUUUUGUUAUGUUG